rnacentral:rRNA from 1 species
UACGGAGGGAGCGAACGUUGUUCGGAUUUACUGGGCGUAAAGGGUGUGUAGGCGGUCUUGCAAGUCAGGGGUGAAAUCUCUCGGCUCAACCGAGAAACUGCCUUUGAGACUGCAGGACUUGAGGGCGUGAGAGGAGACUGGAAUUCCUAGUGUAGCGGUGAAAUGCAUAGAUAUUAGGAGGAACAUCAGUGGCGAAAGCGACUUCCUGGACCAAUACUGACGCUCAUGUGCGAAAGCGUGGGGAGCAAACAGG